GCUGUUUGCUCCCUCGUUCAGCCACCUUAGGGUUUGGUUUUGUGAAGUUUUUCCCCUACUCUUGAGCUCCAAAUUUGUGGUCAUCGUGUGAGUGAUGUGGCAGUGUUCAGGCCUGGGUAACCUCCCUUUCAAACCCCCAAAUCUGAUUUGCUCUUGUGCUAUGUGCCAGCUCCCUAGUUGGUGACCACGCCCACUAAAUUCCCCACCUCGCCGUGGCCAGGCUUUCUUGUGAAGUUUUUCACCCAUGUGGUGAAUGUUCCGUGCUCUGCAAAGGUUAGUGAAGCUCACCCGGUUGGAAUCUCUAGCUCUAUUGUUGUGUGUUGCUUGGAACGGGGUCGCGACGCCUCGGUUCAGCGCCGGGGACAGUCUCCACACCGACCCCUCAGCUCACGUCAUCUCCGCUCGGAUUGUUGCAUGCACCAUGGCCAUGGUAGAUCAGUGAUACUCUCCACGCCUUUGAUUGAAAUUCUACCACACGGUGGCCGCGAGAUCGAGCUCGUCUGGCUGUGUUUUCCGCCAUCGCCGUCGGUGACCGGGUUGUGGUGUCCUCGCAGUGAGUUCGCGCCCAUGCCCGGGUCCGCCAUGGUUCGGGGGUCGCGGGGGUGCUGUCGUCGUCGAUUACCUUGCACCACCCAGAUUAAUCAAACGCCGGUUCGCCGGAGCUCGCGCGGCCAUGUCGGGGUCGAGACUUUGUAAAAGGAGAGAAGUUGAGGGGUUUGGGUGAAGUGGUCAGUGAGAGGAGCCAAUAGUGGCAAGGAUGUGUGUUGGAUUUUUCUGAGCGGCUAGGGUCUUUGUGCAAAAGAGCAAGCGCGGACGAGGGCUCCCAGCCGCAGACCGACUCUGCCCGAUGCUGGACCACAGUGGGCUAGUUCCAGCACAUAAAGAAAUGGGUUUUCCCUUAUUUAUUUAGCUGAGAGCUUGUAAAUUAGGCCAAAAAAUUGUACAAAAAUGAUAAAAUUGUAAGACCAGUUUUAUGAGGUGUGUAAAAUCAUGUACUUUGUAGUAGAAAUAAAUUUAGGAGUUUUACAGCAGAUACCAAUUUUUUGGGGAACCUUGUCUUAACUAGCUGAGCACUUGGUCCAAGUUUGAAACUAUUUGGAAGAAAUUUGCUCAGCAAACAGAUUGUUGCCCGAAAAGAAAAAAGAUUUUAACCUCGGGUAAUUAGGAAAUGAAGUUGCUUAAGAAAGUUUGAGCUUUUGGAUGAAGUUUACGAUGGGUUAGUCCCAUGGUGAAUUGUUAGUUAAUGAUGUCUUCUAGUGCCCUUGGUAAUCCUCUAGUGUUUUGGCUAGUUUUAUGCACCUUGUAUUAAAGUGUACUCAGGAUGGGUUGUUUGUUACCUUUUUAUGAAAUGCAUUUCUGUACCACAACAAACAUUCAUCUACAUGUAAUUGACUUGUAGAACACCUAGGAGAAGUGGUGUCUGCAGAAGGAGUUCACUUCAGUGCCUGCUGAUCCAGUGGUGGAGUUUCAUCUAACUUCUUACCAGAGUAGAAGGAUUUUAGAUCUUCUCCUGCAAUAAUGCAAGCCCCGGUGCAUUUGCCACCUUCCUUGUAUUAUAAAAUUUUAUCACUUAUAUGCUGCAUUAGGUGAUAGGAGUUGAAUGAUUAAACACUUGAUGCAUUACCAUCCUUGAAAGAUUGAUUAUCAUACCUUGUUACCUGUUUUAUAAAAACUAGUAAUGCUUAGUCAUGCUUAUAGAUUAAGAAAAAUAUUUUUGAUCUAUGACUCAUGAUUUUUAAAAAAGGAAAAGGGCUUGGGAUGAUGGAGGCAUCCUCCGCGGGGAUGAAUUCAUCAUUCAAACAGGGUACCUCUGUCAGGUAUCAAACUUUGAGAAUUUGUUUAAAAUGAGACCAGACGUUGAGCUGGACAGGUCGCCCGUCUGUGUCAAUCAAGGACCGUACCGAUUGUAGGCCUGUUGAUCUAGGACCUUUUAACUGGCCACAUACCUCGUCAUGGGUAAGCCUGAACCCGGCUACUCCCAUAUGUGAAAAGACAAUUGCGCACUGGGAGUGGAGAGAUGGCGGGAGUGGCGUGUACCCACCUGGCACGUGGCUGGAUGGUGGAGUAUCGUACUCUCGGGUGGCGCGGACCUGUUCACGUAGUGGAAGACACGUGGGAAUGGUAGACAUAUGCAAGGGUUAAGUGCUACAUAUGUCGUGUGGCUGGAGAUCCCCAGCUGGGUAUUAAUCGAUUCGAAUCGCCGUUACUUCUCGGUCAUGAAGACUGGAUCACUGCUCUGCAUCAUAGAUAACAAGUAUAACAGAGUUUUGGUUAAAAGCAAUCUAGUGUAGGCCAAGUGAAUGAUCUAGAUUAGGAAAAUCUAGAGACAGGUUAGUAGAUUCAGGUAAUAACCUAACUUGUGAAAUAAAACUUGGCUUAAGGAUCCAUUAUUAGUAAGCUUUUAUGCAAAAAGGAGUCAUUGAUAAUUGAUGAGCUUUUCCCUUGAUUCCCCAAAAGCUAGCAUGCCCUUGAGAGUCUUUUCCUUAGUCGGGUAAGUCUUGCUGAGUAAUUGCCUACUCAGGGUUUUAUUCCCUAUGUUGUUGCAGGAAAGAUUUUUGAUGCCUUGGCUUUAUUAGUUGCUCCUUAUGGAGGUCUUGAAGCUUAGAUUACUUAUGUGAAUCUUUUAUGGAAAGGCUUCACCUUUCCAAGUAUUGUAGUUAAGUUAUGCACUCUAAAGACUAUCAGGACUUGUAAUAAUUUCAUUCCCUUUUAUGUUGUAAGACUUGAGUUCUAGAAUGCAAAGUGUA
rnacentral:lncRNA from 1 species